rnacentral:rRNA from 1 species
AUGAAGAACGCAGCGAAAUGCGAUACGUAGUGUGAAUUGCAGAAUUCCGCGAAUCAUCGAGUCUUUGAACGCAAGUUGCGCCCGAGGCUUGUCCGAGGGCAUUUCCGCUAGAGCGUCACCGCGCCCCCCACCGAUCCACUCUCGCCGCGAGGCGCCAGUCGGGUCGAGUGCAAGUGGCCGUCCCGGUGAAGUGGCCUCCUUUCACGAGGAGGCUAAGUUACGGGUCGGCUGAAAUGGAUGGAAUUGGGCCGCCGUGGUGACACAGUCCGCGAUCGGGUGAUUUUGUCGCGAGCCUCCUGCGGUGCGGGAGGUUCUUGGUGAAUUUUUCUAAGUGUUGGCUGCGUCCCCCAGUUGGCUCGGGUUACCUCAUGCAGGUCUUGCGCGCCCCCGCGGCGCGCGUCACGCAUCAGACCUCUAAUCGGAAAAGACUACCCGCUGAGUUUAAGCAUAUCAAUAAGC